CCCUUAGAUGUUCUGGGCCGCACGCGCGCUACACUGACUACUUCAACGAGUUGUUUCCUUGAUCGAAAGGUCUGGGUAAUCUUUGAAAGGUAGUCGUGAUGGGGAUAGAUCCUUGCAAUUUUUGAUCUUCAACGAGGAAUUCCUAGUAAACGCAAGUCAUCAGCUUGCAUUGAUUACGUCCCUGCCCUUUGUACACACCGCCCGUCGCACCUACCGAUUGAAUGGUCCGGUGAAUCUUUAGGACUGUGGCUGAGGCCUUGCCUUGUGCGGGUCUGGCCGUGGGAAUUUAGUUAAACCUCACCAUUUAGAGGAAGGUGAAGUCGUAACA
rnacentral:rRNA from 1 species